GUUCUAGGUGUAACCAACCACUCCCUUUCCCAGUGGGAGACGGCAGUUUGAACUUUACACCUGACAGAGAGAAGCUGACAGUCAGACAAGUAUCAUGUCGCUGUUUUCUCGCACCAUCGGCCUCCUGCGCCGGACUGUCAAUCCCCAUGUGAUGAGCAAGGCGGGCGUAGGACAUAAACCAGCCAAGGAUGCCCUCACCCCAGCAGAACAAACCAUUGCUUUGGUUACGUUGUUUGCGUCAUUCCUGGUGCCAUCUGGAUGGAUCCUGGCUCACAUGGAUGAUUAUAAGCAAAAGCCUGAGUAACCUGGUUAAGCUGUGAUGUAGGGACCGUGUUACCUGGGACCCAGUCGCCGUCAGAAAGUGUGGAUCCGGUUUUGCAACGGGUGCUCCUUGACUAUAUAUCUCCGUGGAACUGUUGCUCCAUUGGCAUGUUAUCUCCCUUUCUUAGUAAAAUUCAUUUAACUCCAAA